rnacentral:rRNA from 1 species
GAGGAAUAUUGGUCAAUGGACGAGAGUCUGAACCAGCCAAGUAGCGUGAAGGAUGACUGCCCUAUGGGUUGUAAACUUCUUUUAUACGGGAAUAAAGUUAGCCACGUGUGGCUUUUUGUAUGUACCGUAUGAAUAAGGAUCGGCUAACUCCGUGCCAGCAGCCGCGGUAAUACGGAGGAUCCGAGCGUUAUCCGGAUUUAUUGGGUUUAAAGGGAGCGUAGGCGGGUUGUUAAGUCAGUUGUGAAAGUUUGCAGCUCAACCGUAAAAUUGCAGUUGAUACUGGCGACCUUGAGUGCAACAGAGGUAGGCGGAAUUCGUGGUGUAGCGGUGAAAUGCUUAGAUAUCACGAAGAACUCCGAUUGCGAAGGCAGCUUACUGGAUUGUAACUGACGCUGAUGCUCGAAAGUGUGGGUAUCAAACAGGAUUAGAUACCCUGGUAGUCCACACAGUAAACGAUGAAUACUCGCUGUUGGCGAUAUACGGUCAGCGGCCAAGCGAAAGCAUUAAGUAUUCCACCUGGGGAGUACGCCGGCAACGGUGAAACUCAAAGGAAUUGACGGGGGCCCGCACAAGCGGAGGAACAUGUGGUUUAAUUCGAUGAUACGCGAGGAACCUUACCCGGGCUUAAAUUGCAACUGACUGAACCGGAAACGGUUCCUUCUUCGGACAGUUGUGAAGGUGCUGCAUGGUUGUCGUCAGCUCGUGCCGUGAGGUGUCGGCUUAAGUGCCAUAACGAGCGCAACCCUUAUCGAUAGUUACUAGCAGGUCAUGCUGAGGACUCUAUUGAGACUGCCGUCGUAAGAUGUGAGGAAGGUGGGGAUGACGUCAAAUCAGCACGGCCCUUACGUCCGGGGCUACACACGUGUUACAAUGGGGGGUACAGAAGGCAGCUACACGGCGACGUGGUGCUAAUCCCGAAAGCCUCUCUCAGUUCGGAUUGGAGUCUGCAACCCGACUCCAUGAAGCUGGAUUCGCUAGUAAUCGCGCAUCAGCCACGGCGCGGUGAAUACGUUCCCG